rnacentral:rRNA from 1 species
GAUGAACGCUGGCGGCGUGCCUAAUACAUGCAAGUCGAGCGAACACACGAGGAGCUUUCUCCUCUGACGUUAGCGGCGGACGGGUGAGUAACACGUGGAUAACCUACCUAUAAGACUGGGAUAACUUCGGGAAACCGGAGCUAAUACCGGCUAACAUGUUCAACCGCUUGGUUCAACAGUGAAAGACGGUCUUGCUGUCACUUAUAGCUGAAUCCGCGCCGCAUUAGCUAGUUGGUAAGGUAACGGCUUACCAAGGCAACGAUGCGUAGCCGACCUGAGAGGGUGAUCGGCCACACUGGAACUGAGACACGGUCCAGACUCCUACGGGAGGCAGCAGUAGGGAAUCUUCCGCAAUGGGCGAAAGCCUGACGGAGCAACGCCGCGUGAGUGAAGAAGGUCUUCGGAUCGUAAAACUCUGUUAUUAGGAAAGAACAAAUGUGUAAGUAAAUAUGCACGUCUUGACGGUACCUAAUCAGAAAGCAACGGCUAACUACGUG